rnacentral:misc_RNA from 1 species
GUUGGCCUUAAGAUGUUUGUAAGUAUAAAUUUAUGGGCUACUUUUAACACUUCUAUUAUAUUUUGCAUAUUCCUUUCUGGUGCCAUUGUUGUAGCAUUUUCCCACGUUUUCUCUUCUGUCUAUUUGGCUUGUCGGCGCUAUCCCCCAUAGAUUGACAAACUCAAAAGACAAUAGCCUACAACCCCAAGGAGUUAGCAAUAUUGCCAUGCUGAACUUAUUCUAGUCAAUGCUUUACCUACCAAAGCUUAUAAACCAUAGUUAUUAAAAGGCGUGCCUGAGGCUCAAGGCUCACCAGGCUUGAACCUUGGCGCUUAGGUGUGUGCCUUUGUUCCAGGC